rnacentral:rRNA from 1 species
UACGGAGGAUGCAAGCGUUAUCCGGAAUGAUUGGGCGUAAAGCGUCCGCAGGUGGCUGUGUAAGUCUGCUGUCAAAGAGCGAAGCUCAACUUCGUAAAGGCAGUGGAAACUACACGGCUAGAGUGCGUUCGGGGCAGAGGGAAUUCCUGGUGUAGCGGUGAAAUGCGUAGAGAUCAGGAAGAACACCUGCGGCGAAGGCGCUCUGCUAGGCCGUAACUGACACUGAGGGACGAAAGCUAGGGGAGCGAAUGGG